GGGCUUGGUUGGUGCUCCAGAGACUUGGGGACACAAGAUGGAGCAAGGAACCUGAGCCGAUUGGGAUCUUUUCUUGUUGUGUCUUGAUCGUGGAACCAGCAACAAGGGUCCAAGAAAAUUAUUGACAGCAGAUCUAUCAAAUCUUAGAAAGCCCUAGGGCUUAGAGAAGAGAAGGAGAGUGAGAGAGGAAGAGAAAGAGAGAGAAGAUUAGAGAGAAAAUGGCUUCUAUUCAGAUUCUAUUCAAUCACAUACUAUAAGGAAAUAUCUAUAUAAUCCCUAAUCAGAUACAUC
rnacentral:lncRNA from 1 species